ACCCCGGUGAGGAAACCAUUUGGGGCGAAACUCUUUUAAAGAAAAAAAAGGCGGUUUUAAUGAAUAACCCCGGCUAACUCCGUGCCAGCAGCCCGGUAAUCGGGGGUGCAAGCGUUACUUGGAAUCACUGGGCGUAAAGAGCAUGUAGGCGGAUUAAUAAGUUUGAAGUGAAAUCCUAUAGCUUAACUAUAGAACUGCUUUGAAAACUGUUAAUCUAGAAUGUGGGAGAGGUAGAUGGAAUUUCUGGUGUAGGGGUAAAAUCCGUAGAGAUCAGAAGGAAUACCGAUUGCGAAGGCGAUCUACUGGAACAUUAUUGACGCUGAGAUGCGAAAGCGUGGGGAGCAAACAGGAUUAGAUACCCUGGUAGUCCACGCCCUAAACGAUGUACACUAGUUGUUGUGAGACUUGAUCUUGCAGUAAUGCAGUUAACACAUUAAGUGUACCGCCUGGGGAGUACGGUCGCAAGAUUAAAACUCAAAGGAAUAGACGGGGACCCGCACAAGCGGUGGAGCAUGUGGUUUAAUUCGACGAUACACGAAGAACCUUACCUGGACUUGACAUAGUAAGAACUUUCUAGAGAUAGAUUGGUGUCUGCUUGCAGAAACUUAUAUACAGGUGCUGCACGGCUGUCGUCAGCUCGUGUCGUGAGAUGUUGGGUUAAGUCCCGCAACGAGCGCAACCCUCGUGUUUAGUUGCUAACAGUUCGGCUGAGAACUCUAAACAGACUGCCUACGCAAGUAGGAGGAAGGUGAGGACGACGUCAAGUCAUCAUGGCCCUUACGUCCAGGGCUACACACGUGCUACAAUGGGAUAUACAAAGAGCGGCAAUACGGUGACGUGGAGCAAAUCUUAUAAAAUAUCUCCCAGUUCGGAUUGUAGUCUGCAACUCGACUACAUGAAGUUGGAAUCGCUAGUAAUCGUAGAUCAGCUAUGCUACGGUGAAUACGUUCCCGGGUCUUGUACUCACCGCCCGUCACACCAUGGGAGUCGAACUCAUUCGAAGCGGGGAUGCUAAAAUAGCUACCUUCCACAGUGGAUUUGGCGACUGGGGUGAAGUCGUAACAAGACCCAGC
rnacentral:rRNA from 1 species